rnacentral:rRNA from 1 species
AGGGCACAUGGCGGAUGCCUUGGCUCUCGGAGGCGAUGAAGGACGUGAUAAGCUGCGAUAAGCUGCGGGUAGGUGCAAAUGACCUUUGAUCCGCGGAUUUCCGAAUGGGACAACCCGGUACUUUGAAGAAGUAUCAUCCUGCAUUGCAGGAGGCUAACGCAGGGAACUGAAACAUCUUAGUACCUGCAGGAAAAGAAAAUAAACAAUGAUUCCCCCAGUAGUGGCGAGCGAACGGGGAACAGCCCAAACCAUCCAUGUUACGGCAUGGGUGGGGUUGUAGGACCACGCCGUGGCAAGAAAGUUGGUGAGCAGAAUGUUCUGGAAAGUACAGCCAUAGAGCAUGACAGCUGCGUAUGCGAAGCCAAGCGAAGCCUAGUGGUAUCCUGAGUAGCGCGGAGCACGAGGAAUUCUGCGUGAAUCUGCCGGGACCAUCCGGUAAGGCUAAAUACUCCCGAGAGACCGAUAGUGAACCAGUACUGUGAAGGAAAGGUGAAAAGCACUUCGAACAGAAGAGUGAAAUAGUUCCUGAAACCAUGUGCCUACAAGCGGUCGGAGCACCUUCUGGUGUGACGGCGUGCCUUUUGCAUAAUGAACCUACGAGUUACUUUUUCCGGCGAGGUUAAGGAUUUCAGAUCUGCAGCCGAAGCGAAAGCGAGUCUGAACAGGGCGUAUAGUCGGAAGGAGUAGACGCGAAACCAAGUGAUCUACCCUUGGGCAGGUUGAAGGAUGGGUAACACCAUCUGGAGGACCGAACCAAUAAGCGUUGAAAAGCUUCUGGAUGACCUGAGGGUGGGGGUGAAAGGCUAAUCAAACUUGGAGAUAGCUCGUACUCCCCGAAAUGCAUUUAGGUGCAGCCUUGACUUAUACUGGCAUGAGGUAGAGCGACUGAUAAGAUGCGAGGGCUUCACCGCCUAUCAAGUCUUGACAAACUCCGAAUGCGUGUCAGUUCUAUGUCAGGAGUGAGGGCAUGGGUGCUAAGGUCCAUGUCCUAAAGGAGAACAAUCCGGACCAACAGCUAAGGUCCCGAAAUGAAUACUAAGUUGAACUAACGAAGUCAGAUUGCUAAGACAGCUAGGAUGUUGGCUUGGAAGCAGCCAUUCAUUUAAAGAGUGCGUAACAGCUCACUAGUCGAGGAGUUUGGCGUGGAUAAUAAUCGGGCAUAAGUAUUCUACCGAAGCUUUGGGAUGAGAAAUCAUCGGUAGGGGAGCAUUCCACUCGGCGUCGAAGGUGAAGCGCGAGCUUUGCUGGAGCGUGUGGAAAAGCAAAUGUAGGUAUAAGUAACGAUAAAGGGGGUGGGAAACCCCCUCGCCGAAAGACUAAGGUUUCCUGAUCAACGCUAAUCGGAUCAGGGUAAGUCGGGUCCUAAGGCUCAGCCGAACGGCGAGGCCGAUGGCAGAACCGGUUAAUAUUCCGGUACUACCUGUGGGAGUGACGUGGAGACGGAGUCGUGACAGCGCCGCGGACUGACGGAAUAGUCCGUUGAAGGGUGUAGAUGCUGAUUGUUCCAGGCAAAUCCGGAGCAAGAGUCGAACCUGACAGUAUGGAGCGUUCUUAGAACAAUCCAAUAGUGCGUGUAAUCAUACUUCCAAGAAAAUCCGCUAAACUUAAUCCUGCAGGUACCCGUACCGCAAACGGACACACGUAGUCGGGUUGAAUAUACUAAGGCGCUUGAGUGAUUCACGGUUAAGGAACUAGGCAAACUGACCCUGUAACUUCGGGAUAAAGGGUCCUCGCUUUACGGCGAGGCGCAGAGAAUAGGUCCAGGCAACUGUUUAACAAAAACACAGGGCUGUGCAAAAUUGAAAGAUGAAGUAUACAGCCUGACACCUGCCCGGUGCUGGAAGGUUAAGAGGAGAUGUCAUCGCAAGAGAAGCAUUGAAUUGAAGCCCCAGUAAACGGCGGCCGUAACUAUAACGGUCCUAAGGUAGCGAAAUUCCUUGUCGGGUAAGUUCCGACCUGCACGAAUGGUGUAAUGAUCUGGACGCUGUCUCAACCGUGAGCUCAGUGAAAUUGUAGUAUCGGUGAAGAUGCCGAUUACCCGCGAUGGGACGAAAAGACCCCGUGAACCUUUACUAUAGCUUAACAUUGAAUUUGGGUAAUUGAUGUGUAGGAU